AUGCCCAGGGAAGACAGGUCGACCUGGAAGACCAACUGCUUCCGUAAGAUCAUCCAACUUUUGGAUGAUUAUCUGAAAUGCUUCAUCAUGGGAGCAGACAAUAUGAGCCCCAAGCAGAUGCAACAGAUCCGCAUGUCCCUCCGAGGGAAGACCCUGGUGCUGAUGGGCAAGAAGCCACGAGGCGCAAGGCCAUUCAAGGGCCGCUGGAAAACAACCCAGCUCUGGAUAAACUGUUGCCCCGUAUCCAGGGGAAUGCGGGCUUGUGUUCGCUCACCAAGCAGGACCUCACUGAGAUCAGGGACACGCUGCUAGCCAAUAGAGUGCCAGGUGCCACCUGUGCUGGUGCCAUUGCCCCAUGUGGCGUUACUGUGCCAGCUCAGAACACUGGUCUGGGCCUCAAGAAGAUGUCCUUUUUCCAGGCUUUAGGUAUCAUCACUAAAAUCUCCAGGCAGCACUGAAAUCCUGAGUGAUGUGCAGCUGAUCAAGACUGGAGACAAAGUGGGGGCCAGCGAAGCCAUGCUGCUGAACAUGCUCAGCAUGUCUCCCUUCUCCUUCGGGCUGGACAUCCAGCAGGUGUCUGACAAGAGCAGCCAUAACCCUGAAGGGCUUGACAUCACAGAGGAAGCUCUGCAUCCUGGAUUCCUGAAGGGUGUCCGCAACGUUGCCAUGUCUGUCUGCAGACUGGUUACCCAGCUGUUGCAUCAGCACCCUAUUCUAUCAUCAGUGGGUACAAAUGAGUCCUGGUUUGUCUGUGGAGACUUAUUACACCUUCUGACUUGCUGGAAAGGUCAAGCUGUUCUUGGCUGAUCCAUCUGCCUUUGCAGCUGCUGCCUCUGUGGCCACUGCCACCACUGCUGCUCCUGCUGCUGCUAUAGCCCCAGCUAAGGUUGAAGCCAAGGAAGAUUUGGAGGAGUCGGACAAGAAUAUGGGAUCUCGUCUCUCUGACUAAUCACCAAAAAGCAACCAACUCAGCCAGCUUUAUUUGCAAAACAAGGAAAUAAAGGCUUACUU